rnacentral:rRNA from 1 species
GACGAACGCUGGCGGCGUGCCUAAUACAUGCAAGUAGAACGCUGAAGGAGGAGCUUGCUUCUCCGGAUGAGUUGCGAACGGGUGAGUAACGCGUAGGUAACCUGCCUGGUAGCGGGGGAUAACUAUUGGAAACGAUAGCUAAUACCGCAUAAGAGUAGAUGUUGCAUGACAUUUGCUUAAAAGGUGCAAUUGCAUCACUACCAGAUGGACCUGCGUUGUAUUAGCUAGUUGGUGAGGUAACGGCUCACCAAGGCGACGAUACAUAGCCGACCUGAGAGGGUGAUCGGCCACACUGGGACUGAGACACGGCCCAGACUCCUACGGGAGGCAGCAGUAGGGAAUCUUCGGCAAUGGACGGAAGUCUGACCGAGCAACGCCGCGUGAGUGAAGAAGGUUUUCGGAUCGGAAAGCUCUGUUGUAAGAGAAGAACGAGUGUGAGAGUGGAAAGUUCACACUGUGACGGUAUCUUACCAGAAAGGGACGGCUAACUACGUG